GACGAACGCUGGCGGCGUGCUUAACACAUGCAAGUCGAACGGAAAGGCCCUGCUUUUGUGGGGUGCUCGAUUGGCGAACGGGUGAGUAACACGUGAGUAACCUGCCCUUGACUUUGGGAUAACUUCAGGAAACUAGGGCUAAUACAGGAUAGGAGCUCCUGCUGCAUGGUGGGGGUGGGAAAGUUUCGGCGGUUGGGGAUGGACUCGCGGCUUAUCAGCUUGUUGGUGGGGUAGUGGCUUACCAAGGCUUUGACGGGUAGCCGGCCUGAGAGGGUGACCGGCCACAUUGGGACUGAGAGACGGCCCAGACUCCUACGGGAGGCAGCAGUGGGGAAUAUUGCACAAUGGGCGGAAGCCUGAUGCAGCAACGCCGCGUGCGGGAUGACGGCCUUCGGGUUGUAAACCGCUUUCGCCUGUGACGAAGCGUGAGUGACGGUAAUGGGUAAAGAAGCACCGGCUAACUACGUG
rnacentral:rRNA from 1 species